AGAGUUUGAUCCUGGCUCAGGAUAAACGCUGGCGGCGCACAUAAGACAUGCAAGUCGAACGGACUUAAUCGAAAUAUUUAUAUUUUGAAGCGGUUAGUGGCGGACUGGUGAGUAACGCGUAAGGAACCUGCCUAUUAGAGGGGAAUAACAGUGAGAAAUCAUUGCUAAUACCGCAUAUGCCAUAGAUAUCACAUGAUAACAGUGGGAAAGAAGCAAUUCGCUAAUAGAUGGCCUUGCGUCUGAUUAGAUAGUUGGUGGGGUAACGGCCUACCAAGUCGACGAUCAGUAGCCGGACUGAGAGGUUGAACGGCCACAUUGGGACUGAGAUACGGCCCAGACUCCUACGGGAGGCAGCAGUCGGGAAUAUUGCGCAAUGGAGGAAACUCUGACGCAGUGACGCCGCGUAUAGGAAGAAGGUUUUCGGAUUGUAAACUAUUGUCGUUAGGGAAGAGAAAGGACAGUACCUAAGGAGGAAGCUCCGGCUAACUACGCGCCAGCAGCCGCGGUAAUACGUAGGGAGCGAGCGUUAUCCGGAAUUAUUGGGUGUAAAGGGUGCGUAGACGGUAGAACAAGUUAGUUGUGAAAUACCUCGGCUCAACUGAGGAACUGCAACUAAAACUGUACUUCUUGAGUGCAGGAGAGGUAAGUGGAAUUCCUAGUGUAGCGGUGAAAUGCGUAGAUAUUAGGAGGAACACCAGUGGCGAAGGCGACUUACUGGACUGUAACUGACGUUGAGGCACGAAAGUGUGGGGAGCAAACAGGAUUAGAUACCCUGGUAGUCCACACCGUAAACGAUGGAUACUAGGUGUAGGAGGUAUUAAGCCUUCUGUGCCGUCGCAAACGCAGUAAGUAUCCCACCUGGGGAGUACGGCCGCAAGGUUGAAACUCAAAGGAAUUGACGGGGGCCCGCACAAGCAGUGGAGUAUGUGGUUUAAUUCGAAGCAACGCGAAGAACCUUACCAGGUCUUGACAUCGUGCGCAUAGGCAAGAGAUUGCUGAAAUCACUCUUUGAGUGACGUAUAGACAGGUGGUGCAUGGUUGUCGUCAGCUCGUGUCGUGAGAUGUUGGGUUAAGUCCCGCAACGAGCGCAACCCUUAUCAUUAGUUACUACGAAAGAGGACUCUAAUGAGACUGCCGUUGAGAAAACGGAGGAAGGUGGGGAUGACGUCAAAUCAUCAUGCCCCUUAUGACCUGGGCUACACACGUACUACAAUGGCUGUCAACAAAGUGAACCAAAUACGCGAGUAAGAGGGAAACACAAAAAACAGUCACAGUUCGGAUUGUAGGCUGCAACUCGCCUACAUGAAGCCGGAAUUGCUAGUAAUCGCGGAUCAGCAUGCCGCGGUGAAUACGUUCCCGGGUCUUGCACACACCGCCCGUCA
rnacentral:rRNA from 1 species